GUUGAAAUUCUGCUCUUAUAUCCAACUCUAGUUUCUGUUGGUGGUUAUAGUUAAUUAGUGUUGGAAGAUUAGGAUAAAAUAUGUUUGCACUUCAAUCUGUUUGGUUAUCCGAGCAAGGAUAUAUACUUCAAUUAUACAUGUUUUGUUUUAUGUUUGGUUAUACAAAAUCAUCUUCCCUUGUCUCUGGGUAGAUGGCAAAUCAAUGGCAUCUUUAUCACCUGCUGCUAGUUUCUGUUGGUGGUACUUCAUAUUGUUUUUUUUUUUUUUUCUGAAAAUGAAUAUUGAAGGAUAUUGUUGUAUGGAUAUUUUGUUAUUGUGUGAAUGAAUAAUAUAUGUACAGGUAAUAUAUAAAGGAAAAACUGCUAACCAUACACUUGUGCUACUCCCAUUGGCUAUACAAAAAAAUCAAUAUAGAGACUAAUCUGAAAACUAGUCUGUACACUGAUUUUAUUUUGCAAAUGAUUAGUUUCAUUUGAAAAUCUUGAAGAGCAUGUGUUUCAAUCAAAUUAAAAAUUAAACACUAGAAUCUACUUUUAUAGACAUCUUUUUUACAGCUGGGUAAAUUGCUUCCAUGGCCACUCCUUCAAGAAUUUCACUUUCACUGCUUCCUGGCUCUCCCAUCGAUUGGCAAGGAAAUAGUUGAAGUUCUGGAUAUACUGCUGAGGUGAUAUGAUUUACAACACAUGUUUGUUGAAGUCCUUCAAGAAAAUGAAAAAGUGAAACUCAAGAGUAAUAAGGUGAGAUUUUAUUGCUGAAAUUUAUAGUAGUACUUGUUUUAAAAAUCUUAUGGUUUGGUAUAUUUGUGGACUUGCUGGUUUAUGAAUUUGCUUAUCUAGAUUUGUUGAAGGUAUGGUUCUCCUGUGUUUUCUAAAUAUGCUUGGCAACAAUGAGUUGAUGCGUGCACACUUCAGGUGUCCUCUUGCUUUUUAUCAAAGAUUUUCUCUUUGUUCAGUUUCUAGGAAGAAGUAUAGUAAUGUUUGCUUUGCCAUCUUUACAAUGGCAUGUUGAUUUAGCUUUAAAGUUUGUGUGUUUGUUAUCUAUUUUAUUUUUAUAUAUAUAUUGUUUUAUUUCAUGUUCAUGGUGAUAUAUCUCUUUAAUAUGUCAACAGUUGGUUAUGACAAAGAAGAAGAGGCAGCUAGAGCUUAUGAUCUAGCAGCAUUGAAAUAUUGGGGUGCCGCAAUCACUUCGAAUUUUCAUAUCAGGAUGAAUGCUACUAAUCUACAAAGGUAUUGAAGUGUUGAUCAAGUGGCUGGAUGUUUUUCAUUGAUUUAAUUUAUACGGUUGAUUACUUUGAGACACUGUUUUGAUACUUUUUGUUUUGGUGUAAAUAAGAUCAACUUUUUACUUGUC